CAUGCAAGUCGAACGCAGUAGUAAUACUGAGUGGCAGACGGGUGAGUAACAUGUGGGAAUCUGCCUUGUGGUUCAGGACAACAUUGGGAAACCGAUGCUAAUACUGGAUAAGCCCUUACGGGGAAAGUUUUAAUGCCAUAAGAUGAGCCCGCAUUUGAUUAGUUAGUUGGUGAGGUAAUGGCUCACCAAGACAAUGAUCAAUAGCUGAUCUGAGAGGAUGAUCAGCCACACUGGGACUGAGACACGGCCCAGACUCCUACGGGAGGCAGCAGUGGGGAAUCUUGCACAAUGGAGGAAACUCUGAUGCAGCGAUGCCGCGUGAGUGAAGAAGGCCUUUGGGUUGUAAAGCUCUUUUGUAGGGGAAGAUAAUGACUGUACCCUAAGAAUAAGGUCCGGCUAACUUCGUGCCAGCAGCCGCGGUAAUACGAAGGGACCUAGCGUAGUUCGGAAUUACUGGGCGUAAAGCGCGCGUAGGCCGUUGAGUUAGUUAAUUGUGAAAUCCCAAAGCUUAACUUUGGAACUGCAAUUAAAACUGCUCGACUAGAGUUUGAUAGAGGAAAGCGGAAUACAUAGUGUAGAGGUGAAAUUCGUAGAUAUUAUGUAGAACACCAGUUGCGAAGGCGGCUUUCUG
rnacentral:rRNA from 1 species